ensembl:lncRNA
AAAAAAAAAAAAACCCAACAUAGUUCAGGAUGCCUUCAAGAUCACAGCAUGUUGCCUUUACCACCCUCACCUCUUGAGUCCUGGGGUUCCAGAUUCCUGGUGAGGGCCACCAAAGGCAGCUGUGCCCAGGAGGGAAGCAGUGGACGGCUGAGAGGACCCAGCAGGGCACACCGAGCCAGACAGCUGCAUGGACCAUGGCACCACAAGAGCAGCAUACUUCAACACGGAGACAACAGAGAGCAGAAGGGCUCAGCCCUCGCAUUCUUCAGGCCAGGUCAGCACUUUGACUUCAGAACACUGCCUAUCAGACCAUCUUGUGGCCAGUACAAUCACCCCUCCCAUCGAGGGUGGCUGCCCUGGACCAGCCAAGGAUGAGCCACAUGUGACAGGCUUGUGUGUACAGGGAAGAAGGGAGGCGUAUGGACAAGUGCACUGGCCACUGGGAUGGGUCUCUACAGUGGCUUUUGGAUUUCCUUUUGGGGACUGCUGAAUGUCCCUUUCUGGGUCCUUUCACUCACUGUGAACUUAAAAACAUAAGGUUAUGAAGGGUUUGAUCAUAUGUAUGUUUAUGUACCACAUGCAUGCUUGGUGCCUGAAGUUAGAGAGGGCAACAGAGCCCUGGAGUUUAUCUGAUGGAUGGAUGUGAACCACCACAUAGGUACUGGGAAUUAAACCCAGGUCAUUUGUAAGAGCACUGAACCAUCUUUCCAGCCCUCACUGUAUAUACUCUUUAUGUUAAGGCUGAAGCCAGUGCUAAAGCUCAGCACGUACCACACUUAGUAAAUGAGGUCCUAGGGUUCAAUAUGUAGGGGCAAUGGGUAAGGUCUCUUGGCCCCAGAAGGUGAACCUGUUACAGGUCAGAUAGCAGGCUCCUGUUUUCCCAGUGCCAAACUGGAUCUGCGGAGUCAGAGUUCACAGACAGCCCAGCAGUAGCAUCUCCAGCUGGGAUGUUCCCAGGGAAGCAAUGGGGAACAGCCAAGGGCCCCAUUUAAGCUGGCUUCCUCCUUUCACCUCUGCCAUGGCCCUUGUAUGACACAAUCAGUCACAGACCUUGUUCGGUAGGUGGGCCUACAGAUACAUGGGUUCAAGCCCCAGCUAGACACCACCCCUGGAUUAAAAGUUUUGAUCCCAGCUGUUGUCAAAGCAUCACCAAGGACAGUCUCAUCCACCCCGCCUGGCACUGCUAAGAGGCACAGUCAGUCCCCAAAGACCUCCAGAACCACAAACUCUAGACCCUAUUGGGCCCUUGGUACUCCUGGAAAUUAGGAUGGCUAGAUUUCCCAACCCCUGGGUCACUCCUGUCAUUCUUAGCUGCCCUACCUCAGCACUCUCUCCUGGAGUCUUGUAGAGUCAGUCCCUCCUUUUCAUCAUUGCUCUAGACACCUUUACAAACCCAAAGUCACUGACAAGGGUUAUAGUGGGGCCACUGUGGAGCAAACAUGACAUUGUUAGCUAAUAGACACAUACUCUGAGGCUCUGCAGAGCACAAGGCAUGUUUAUUAUUACUGCAACUGCGCAGCAGAAGCCAGAAGCCCCACUCAAGCCGGGCCGGGCUCUACUCGCUUUCUCCAAGCAGACAUGGGCUUGGCUGCUGACUGGGCGGCAUGUGAGCAGUGUCACAUAGCUUUCUUCAGGUUCCAUGGUAUGCAGAGACCAGGCUUUGGAUGGAAGUCACACAAUCAGCAGCUCCCUGAGUGUCCCCCGCCCCCCAGCAUCUCUGAGCAGGGAAGGAGUCUGUGGUGAGGCAGCUGGAAAUGGGAGAUGAACGCUAUACCUGGGGUGAGGCCUCAGCACCAUACUCUUACACUUGGAAGUGUGUGCUUCUUUUUCUAUGGGUAGUGUGUGCACGAGCAGGCCCAGCUUGACACAGUGUCCUCUAUAACUCUCAACUGUGUUCUGAGGUAGGGUCUCUCACAGGACCCAGGGCACACUGGCCAGCUAGACUGGCUUUUAUGUGGGUGCUGAGGAUCCAAACUCAAUGUGCCAUGCCUGUGUGGCUGGCACCUCGCCCACAGAGCCACUUCUCCAGCCCAGAGUCUGCCAACCUAAAGCGUUCCUAGUUCCUAGUGAAGGGGUCAGAGAUGAAUGACUUACCUGAAUGUCUGAUUCCCUCAUGGACAACCCUACUGGAUACCCAGGAAGCCUGUUUCAGUGGGGGCUUAGCCCCGGAUCUCUGCUGUCAUCCUGAGGUGGCAGCCGGACUGGGUCCUGACCUGGAUCUCCUAUGACUACACAUCAGUGGUGUGCACUGGUACCACAGGCCUGGUAGUCAGGCUUCGCCAGGUGGGGCUACUGUCAGUGAGAGUGGGUGGCAGGCAGCCAGCUGAUUUAAUGAGCACAGAUAAUAAGGAAUUACAGCAGUUCUCAACCUGUGGGUCACGACCCCUUUGGGGGAAUCAAAUGAGCCUUCCAAGGAGAUUGCCUAAGACCAUCUGUAUAUCAGAUAUUUACAUUACAACUCAUAACAGUAUCAAAGCUACAGUUAAGAAGUAGCAACAAAAGCAAUUCCAUGGUUUGUGGUCACCACAACAUGAGGAACUGUAUGAACACUGAAUUUUGAGGAGGAAGCUAGGCAGUGCCUGGGUUUCCCUAGGACCACAGACACAAGCUUCCACAUGGAAUCUUUAUUGGGCGUAUUUGCUUUGCAGUGAAGUGCCUCCAUAUAGUGGCCAGUCCUGAGCACAUCCAAAUCCCAUGCUUGGAAAUAUUUCAGUGAUUAAUGUUAAACAUUACUAAGUGGUCCCCAGCCCCUGCACCCCAACCUGAGUAAGGCAUACAGGCCAGAAGACCUCCUGCAGGUGAAACCUCUGGGUUCAGUCUGACAAUUAUUUGGGUCAUCCAGAAAAGCUGUUUAGGGACGGAAGAGUUCCUUCAUGUGGACAGGCUUUCCAGCCCCAUCAGCAGGACACAGCACUUGGAUGCUAAGAAGACUGGCCCUCCAGUUCCCUCUCCAUCUACUGCACCUCAACUCCAAAUGAGCAUCCUGUCUCAGAAAUGUGUCUGCCUCACUCUGCUCUGUAUGCACACACUAGGAGCCUGUGUGCCUUCCCCACUGGCCAGGAUGAAGUCUCCCUGUGGUCAAAAUCAUACCAGGUCCUGACAUGCCAGUCAUGACCACAUCUGCUCCCAAGCUUGUUCUGUCUGUCCCUCUUUAUAGUGUGGGGAAGCAGGCAGGUGGUCCCUGGCCAGGCAGAGGGUCACCUAAAUGUAUGAUGCUAUUUUUUGUUUGUUUGUACAGAGACAGGGUUUCUCUGUAUAGCCCUGGCUGUCCUGGAACUCACUUUGUAGACCAGGCUGGCCUCGAACUCAGAAAUCCGCCUGCCUCUGCCUCCCAAGUGCUGGGAUUAAAGGCCUGUGCCACCACGCCCAGUUUUGUAUGAUACUUUUUAAGCACAAAACAAACACACCUCUACUUACAGGACAAACAAGGCCUUGGAGGAACUGGGAGACUCCUUGGCCUGUGAACACAUUCUAGGUGGUACAGGUAUGAGGAGGACUCCUGUGAAUGUUUUUACAGAAUCUUGCUGGGGCAGCCUCAGGAAAGGAGGAACAAAAGGCAGACCUUUGAGAACACUAGUCUGCUCUAAAUAGCUGAGAGGGUGAAUAAAGUCCUCACAGAGCCCUAGACA